AUUGAACGCUGGCGGCAUGCCUUACACAUGCAAGUCGAACGGCAGCACGGGUGCUUGCACCUGGUGGCGAGUGGCGAACGGGUGAGUAAUACAUCGGAACAUGUCCUGUAGUGGGGGAUAGCCCGGCGAAAGCCGGAUUAAUACCGCAUACGAUCUACGGAUGAAAGCGGGGGACCUUCGGGCCUCGCGCUAUAGGGUUGGCCGAUGGCUGAUUAGCUAGUUGGUGGGGUAAAGGCCUACCAAGGCGACGAUCAGUAGCUGGCCUGAGAGGACGACCAGCCACACUGGGACUGAGACACGGCCCAGACUCCUACGGGAGGCAGCAGUGGGGAAUUUUGGACAAUGGGCGAAAGCCUGAUCCAGCAAUGCCGCGUGUGUGAAGAAGGCCUUCGGGUUGUAAAGCACUUUUGUCCGGAAAGAAAUCCUUGGCUCUAAUACAGUCGGGGGAUGACGGUACCGGAAGAAUAAGCACCGGCUAACUACGUG
rnacentral:rRNA from 1 species